rnacentral:lncRNA from 1 species
CCAGGAUUGAACCAAGGUAUUCUGAAUCCCAGAGUAGCCUUAAAUUCAAACUCCCAAGACCCCAGAGUGUCUAUUUUUCUUAGUGGUCUGUCAGAGGCUGAUGACUCUCAAAGUAGCAUCUUUAAAAAAAGGCAAGACAGUCACUAGAAUAGCAACUUCAGGGUCCUUGUUUAGAAGUGCUUGGGGUAGGGAAGUAUUGCAAAUAUAAGACUGGACUUCCAUUAAACAGAAAUGUACUGUUAGCAAAAGCCUGGUGUGUUUGGGUGAAUAGUAAGUUUCCACCACAUGUAAGGUAUAAUAAUAAUCAGGUUUUCAAAAUACUCAGCCAGACUCUGCUGGUUUCUCUAAGAUAGAAAUGCACAGACAGAUAAAAGACUGUGUUCAGGUUUUAUUUUAAUCUUUGCCUCCCUGCUUGUGGUCUUAAAGGCCUUAGUACUGACAGCAAAUGAUAUUUCUACCUCCUUCUUUACAAAGCAGGAAUUUGCAUUUUAAUUUUGGAAUACUUAGGGAAAAAUCAAAUGAAAUGCUUUAUUUACCUUUUCGAGAUUUUUUUUUUCUUCUUUCCAGGAAUAAAGCCUAUUGCGUACUGAGCUGCAUACUAAAUGUCAUGAAUCUCAAGGCAGAGCUCGUUACUGGAGCUACAGUGAAUGCGUUUGUGCUUCAGUCAGGAGGAAUUUCAACUUCAAGGGGCUCCAGAUUGGAAUAGAUUUCUUUUAAAGUAAAAUAGUUGGGCUUGCCUUGAAUUGAACCUCAAGAACAACAUUUAAUAAAAAUGUGCUGUGAGCCCUGCUUUGAUAAGGAAAGCUAUUUAUAAGCAUCUUGUCAUCUUCUAUAGCAACUCUAAAGGCCUCUAAACCCUGAAAGUGAUGAGAAUAUAGCUACUAGUAUACAAUUCCCAAGUUUGUCUACCCAUCCUAGUUGCUGUUCACCUGAGUCCAAAAUGGACACUCAGAAAGCAAAAGUGGUUGCUGCUAUUAAAUACAUUGGGACAACAGGCAUAAACUGGGAACCAAAUCUGGCAAACUAGCAGGAACAAACAGCCUAAUCAUGGGCAAAUUCCCUUUUCUAGCAAAGAAACGAUCAGCAUGGAGUCUGUAGGCAGAGUAUAAUGUCUGAUCCAGAAUUUACUCAAUGAAGGACCAGGAAGGAAGUCCCCUACAUGGAACAACUUUGAACACAAAAAACAGAAUCGGAAGGGUGAUAGAGUCAUCUAGUUCUAUGGGAUGAGAGAGUAGAGAGGAAUUGGGGUUGUCAUUUGGAUCUGUGUAAAAGGCUGGUGGACUGAUAGGAGGUGGUGGAAACUUUAGCAGGUGGGCCUAGUGGAAGGUCACUGGGGGAUGUCCUUGAGGGGCUUGUUGGGACCAUCACCUCCUUUCCCUAUCGCUAUUUGCCUCCCAGCUGCUCCACACAUGUUCCUUGUCUUGGUGUUCUUUGUCACCAUAGUCCCAAAACAGUAGAGCCAACUGACCAUGGACUGAGACCCCUGAAACCGUGAGCCAAAAGAAAUCUCUCCUUUUAAGUAGUUUGUCAGCUAUUUUGUCACAUGGAAAGCUAACACAUAAACUAAAAUUACUGAAACAACUGUUCUUUUAUUCUUAGAUUAUGUCCUUUCUUACCAUUUUUUGGGCGUUGAACAAUUAUUUUUAAUCAAAUGAAAUAAAUACUAGAGAAUAAUAAUAUUUUUAAUGUUUUUAACCUGGCAAAUUUAAAAGUGGCAUCUCUAUGGAGAUCCCAAAAUGUUAAGUCAGAGCCAAAGACCCAUAGCUUUAAGAUAACUUCAAAUCAUAAAACACGGUAGAAAAAAGGUUGUUGUUAUUUUUUUUUUCUUUUUCAGAAAAAAGAGGAAGAUAAUCAAUAACAAGUAAUUACAAUCAUUGCAGCUUGAUGUUGGCCAGGGAUCCUAACGGCUCAGAGGUGUGAGGAAUUCGAAGAUUGUCUUUAGUCUUUCUAUCCCAAGUCCUUGGCCCUUGGCAAGACCCUCUGGCUCUUUCCCAGCAGUCAAUCUGCUCCUUGCAAAAGCUCCAGCUCCCCAGGAGAGAGUCAGUGAGCAUGGAUGAGGAUAAUCUCAUGAAAACUGGCAGGUCCAGUCCUUCUAUGUUACUUUUAGAAGAGAAGAAGUUUCUUCUUUUUGGGUUAAGGACUGAAAUUAGCUAGACUGAUUUCAUUUCUCCACUUGGCUUUGUGUACAUGGCUAUUGACUCUGAAACCGAAGGAGGGGUAAUGCAGAGGAAUGCUCUGGCUACUGGUAUAAAACUUGCCAAGAAAAAACCAACGAGGACUUGAUUUUAUGAAUGCGGUAUUCUUUUGCUAAUCCCCCAGCACUGGAUCACAGAAGAGUAAAGACAAAUCUACUCAGGAGUAUUAUUUUCAGACUUCAGGAUGAAGGUAGCUAAAUAGCAAGCUUCUCUAAGUACAAAGAUGCUCAGCAAGCCCAGGCAUAUUUCUGCUUUAGGAGGAAAAAAAUCAAACAGUCUCUGCUCUUAUAAAAUCCACGUAUCUAUAUUUUAACAUGACAGCAUUACCAAGAAUUAGUAAUUAGCCUGAAGUAUCUGGUCAAAAUCAAAUAGACUUGAGUCAACCAGCUCCUAUGAAUUCAUUCAGUCUAUUUCAGAUUUUAUGAUAUUAAAUUGCUUUUGCAAAGUUGUGCAUAAUAAAACAAAAUAAAGGAUGGCUUGAGGAUA